GGAGAAUGGCAGCAAGUGAGGAGCCAGAAAGCAGAUGGUAGGCAGAUGAGGCAGCACCCAUGGUGAAGGACAGGAAGAUUGUAGAAGGCAAUCCACUGAGUUUUCUGGGAGAAAGUAAAGGGUACCCUGGCACCUGCGGUGCUGCCAUACUUGUCCUCCAAGCACAGGGGAAGGAGGAAGAGAAAGAGAGAGAGGGAAGGAGGAGUCCCUAUUUCUACAGUCAUCAACCAGAGAGGAAAGAUGCCUUCCUGUCAUAACCAUCUCUGCUGUCACAGCUGCUGCACUGUGCCAAAACUUCAAAACCCAGCAGACGUUCAAACUGCAAAUUUUGGAUUCUUAUAUUGAAAUUGGAUCCCAAAAUCCAACAUUUUGGAAAUGAAAUCUGACUGAUCUGAUUGACUAUAUGAAUGAAUGAAGUUAUAAUGAAAUGUACUUAAUUAUAUUGCAAGUCAGUUGUACUACAUAUGCUAACAAUACAAGUAGCUUGUAGCUACUAGCUUUUAGCUGUACUAUAAGCUACUGCAUGUCUGUUGUCAGAUGCUGUCAAACACUGAUAGCUGCAUGUCUGACAUUGUCAAAUACUGACAGCCACUAAAUGCUAUCUGUCAAAUCUUGUCAAAUAUUCAUUUCUAUAUAUCCGAAACUGUCAAAUACAGACUGCAGUUUCAUGGCAGUUGUCAGUUAUUGCCAAAUAGUGGUAGCUACAUGUCUAAUACAG